GUAGGUGAACCUGCGGAAGGAUCAUUAAAAAUGAAGCCGGGAAACCGGUCCUUCUAACCCUUGAUUAUCUCAAUUUGUUGCUUUGGUGGGCCGCGCAAGCACCGGCUUCGGCUGGAUCGUGCCCGUCAGAGUCCACCCAAACUCUUGUAAACAGUGACGUCUGAGUAAAAAUUUAAUAGCAAAAAACUUUCAACAACGGAUCUCUUGGUUCUG
rnacentral:misc_RNA from 1 species